AUUCUUGGGCCUGGCCUCCCAACCCAAAUAUAACUGGCUUAGCAAAAAAGCUCAGAUGCACAUAGACUUGAGAGGCGAGGCCACACCCUUUCCCUCUCCUCUCCGUCUCCCAAGUGCGUCUUCCUCAACCUCCGACGCAUUCUUCCGUGAACCCCGUCAUUCUCAGGUGUUCCUGGGUGUCGGAAAUGUAGUCGGAUACAUAUUCGGAUAUUUGUUUUUGAAACUCUCGGUUAUGCAUGGUUAUUGGAGCAGGGACAAUUCUUUCUUCCUGCUUCUCUGUCGUUGCAUUUUUUAUGCCAGAGUCGCCUUAUUGGUUGAUCAUGAAAGUUCAACAGGCUAAUGCCGGGCUGGUUCUUGGAAAAAUAUCAAAUAGCAAGGAAGAGGCCAAGUUAGAGCUUAAAGAAAGAGAAAAUAGAGGAGAAUGGACAGGAUUUAUUAGUAAGCAUUCUGUUUCCUACAUCUUGAUAUGCACCAUUUGUAUUCAUCUAUUCCAAGCUGCAGCUCAGAUAGGUGUUAUUGUCUUGUAUGGACGUGUGAUCUUUGAAAUCAUGGGUGUUCACUCAUUAGAAAGCAGCUUAAUAUCCAACGUAGUUCUUGGGUGUAUCAAGACUUCGUUUACUUUAGUGGCUAUGUUUUCCAUUGAUCGAAAACAUUCAAGCUUGAGUUGUGCUUCUCCUCCCUUUUAUCCUUCCAGAUCUUCAAAUAAAGACAGUACUUGAAGUCAAAAAAGGUAUAUAUGGUGCAAGCACGAGCAAGAAUCUUCACACUCCUGUUAUAGAUGAGAAUUUUCCUAUACACCAAAACAGUGCAUUGGUGCUGGGGAAGUAUAGCUGAGUCGCUGACUCUGUUGCAAUUGACAGGCCUUUUAUAUUGAUGAUACCAUCACUCCGGCAGCAGGGAAGCCUGUGAGCAAUAUGCAAAUGCCACCUUCUGGAUCUUCUGUGAUCAAUCCUAUUACAUCUUUGAAAUCUACGGCUCAAGGAAGGAGUGUAGCUAUGUCAGACCAGAUGACUUGUCAGGGAGCUCCACAGCACAACCAAAUCAACAGAACCUCUCCCACUCCACAGCUCCACUCUCUUCAGCGAAUUCCUGCUCAAAACCGUAUUCAACCUCCAGCAGUUGGUCCAAUGUCCGGGUAGUAAUUCUCAAGCCUCUUCUCCACGAAAAACUGCUUUGUCACUAACUUCUUAUGAAGCUGGUGAAGCAGAGACUGCUGCAGAAUCAAGUAAUCCAGAACAGCAUUGGUUGAAAAGGGAAAAGGCAUAAUUCAAGGAAAUAGAAGAGGAUCUUUUCUUUAUGGUGGGACGCAGGUUAUGGGAGCCACAUGGAAAAUGGGUGUUGGGCAUGGUGAGCAGAACUUCCUUGGAACACCAACCUUUUUGCCAGGUACAAAAUGCCCAGUUCCUUGUCGUAAAAGGGUUCCUUCUGUUUUGUUCUGGUUUGUCAGGUCAGAAAUGCAGUGACCAAUGCUUUUCACGUCUUUUCAGCUGGUUCUCUCUUUUGCUUCUUUUGGCAGGCAACUGGCAUCACCUCCGUUGCAGCCAUCACAUGAUGCUUUGCUCUUUUUUUUCCCCUCACUGAUGGAAUUAACAGUGGCUUAGACUGCCCUGCUGAUGUUCAUUCGGUCCGUGUAUUGAUGCUUCUCAUUUGAUCCUUCUUUUGACUCCGCCCUCGUCUACUCAAACCUGCUCGUGCUUUCGCUCUUUUUUGUUCCGUUUGUUAUGAAUUUGCAUUGUUUUCCUUCAUUUAGCGGCCUGCUCAGGCAGCUCCUUUUAAGUUCGUUUCCUACACUUUUCUGACAGCUGCUCACAGCAUUGUCUCCCUGCAGGGUCACUGGCUUCCCAGCCUUGCCUGCGCUCAGACACCCGCGUCCAGACGUGUGGCUUAUCUGUGCACAACAUGUGGAUCCAUGCUUGCCUGCUCUGCUGCCAUUUCAGUUCCCCUGUCAGUCUGUCACCUGCUGUUCUUUUUAGUGCAUUGCAUGUACUUUUUAGCUCUUGCUGAGGCAAGAAGAACAUUGCCUAAAUGCCACUGUCGUCAAUUUCUGCUGAAUUUUCUCUAAAUGCUUGAUUGCAAUAUUUAUCGUCUUUUAGCAAUGAUGGUUAUCCUUUUAAGAUUCUACAGACAAAUUCUUUCGGCUUUCCUCCUCUAUCCUAUCAACGCGAUCUAAAUCAUUGCACAAUCGAAAGAGAACGCCCACGGUGAAGUGCUUCUAUUUUUCUCAAGGGUGGCUCAAGAAUGCUGGGGUUCAGUUUGUGUUUUGUUUGUCAAUUUCUUUGCGUCAGAUCAUUUACUUUCAAGAUUUUGAGAUUUAAUUGGAAAAUGGUAGUUUGCUGGUUGAUUUAUUAUUUCUUACCAUUUGAAGUGUUUUACCAGACACUUGCUGAAAUUAAUGUUAUAUGAUAUCAAUUUUUCUGAGUCUUACUUUCAUUUAUGUGUUGAAUUUUCUUCUCUUUUCAUGUAUUUGCUUUUCAUUUUGCUUGUGCUAAGCUGCUUCAUUUUCAUUGACUGACAAGGGAUUAUUUUAGUCAUUCUUGUAAUAUUUUGAAAUAAAAAAAGAAGGUUUGAUAGGAAAUGACAACAAUAUCCUUAGAAGAGUAAGUUUUAGGUGUAUAUGGAUGAAGGGCAUUUUAGUAAUUGAACAAAAAGGUGGUAAAUAUAGAAGGAAGAAGAGAAAAGGAAACGAGGAGAAGACUUGUAUUUGAAGAGAGGGAACCGUAAGAAGAAGAGAAAGAAGAGGAGAUAAAGGAAGGAGAAGAGAGUUAGAGAAAAUAAGUUUAAAAGAUAAAAUUUAUGUUUUGAUAUGUAAAAUUGUUAAUAUUAAUUAAGAUUGUGAAUUUGUUGAAGAUCAAUGUUUUGAAGAUUUUGAUUUGGGUUUGAAUAAUGAGUUGAUUGGAAUAUUAUGAGUUAAUUGAUAUAGGUAAUGAUUUAUUUAGUUGAUUUGGAAAGAUUUUGAGUAAAGAUGAUUUUGAGUUAUGUUUUGUUUAAAAGAUAAAUUUGAGCUAGAUGUAGAUCAGUAGGUGAUCUGUAGAAAAAUUCGAGUCUAGGGUUAAAGAUGACGAGAUUUCAGUCUGGUCCCUCAAUUUAUAAAGAUUACAGUUUAAUUCUCGAACUUUGGAGAAAUUAUGGUUUUAUCCCUGGAGCUAAAUUCGAGAUUCUUGACAAAAUUUAGGAUGAGUUAUGGGCAACAUCUCAGUAUGGUUAUGAAUUUAUAAUAUUUAUAGUUUGGUCCUCUAAUUUGACAAAAUUACAAUUUUAGCCCCUAAAAAUCUAAGAAAAAUCCAUAUUGGUCACUAGCUGAAAUUAUAGUUUUUCAGAUUGGUUUUGAUGAAUAAUUGUGGUUUCUUGACGAAUUAUUAUCAAAUUUUAUGUUUUGUUUCCUUUUGAAAUAGAUUUCGAAAAAUCGUUUGAUUUUUUGGUUUUUGAGAAAAAGGACGGGUUUGGUUCAUAAACAUAUAGGCUAUAAGGUUAUGAGUUAGACUCUAAGUUAAGUGUAUUAAAUAGAUUGUACAUUUUUUUUUUAGUUUUUUUUAAUAUGUCUCAUUUUGUAUUCAAAUAUUCUUGAUGUUCUACCUGUGGAACAUCAAUAGAAUUGCCUUUAGUAUAUGCCUCCGUGUUAUUUUUAAUUUUGAGUUAUGUGAGUGAAUAAUUUUUUAUAUGCUAGAAGAUUAGUAUAAAUACUUGAAUUGUUAACAUGAAAUUAAUCGUGCUUCUUGAUAAUUCUUAUAUUGUUAUUUAUUCCUUGUUUAUUAUUAAACAUGAUUACUUAUUGAAACUAAAUAUCUGAUAUGAACUAUUAUGUACUUCUGAAUUGAUAAUUUUUCAUUUGACUGAUGUCAUGAGUUGAGGUUAGAGAUAUAAAUCUAUCUGUGUGAUUAUAAUAUGGACUAGUAUGUUAGUUAGAAUACUCAUGCUAGUAGGGUAGUGUUAGUUUUUAUGCACAUCGUAUUUGGAUUCUAAUUGGUAGGGAGAGUCACCAACUUGUGGCGACUAAUCAUCAUACAGUACGAAGCAUCAUGCUUAUUACUUUUUGAUUUUCUAACGUGCUUUAUUUUAUGAUAUUCUUGUUAUGGUCUAUUUGAGAAACUUUGUUGUAAGAACUUAAAGUCAUAUUUGUAUAUAUAUUCCUCAUUGUUGUAAUAUUUCAUGUACGUAUAUUGAACCCUCUCGUUACUUAUCUUUUUCAGAUUUAUAGCUUGUUAGCAUGUUUUUUUAGUUGUAAUUGGUAUUUUUUUUAUUAUGUCUAGUUAGUAUUUUAUAAUUAUGAUAUUUGUUUUAACUCUUUUAUUAAAAUAAUUAAUUUAUAUUAUGAGAUUAGUUAUGUUAUUAUGUUGUGUAGAACUUUGUUUUGUUUAUAUAGGUGAAAACGUUUGUAUGAAAGUUUGGGUUAUAUAAUUUGGAAACCUGGAGGGAACCUUUUCUUAUGCGCCGGCACCUAGUUUGGGUUCCAUAGCUUGACUUCUGCUUCCCCUCCUUUUUGUCCUCCCGGAUCUUCAAACAAAGACAUUACUUUAAGAAAAAAAAAAGGAAAUGUAUGGUGCAAGCACAAGCAAGAAUCUUCGCACUCCUGUCAAACAGUGCAUUGGUGCGGGGGGAGAAUAUAGCUGACUCUGUUACAAUUUACAAGCUUUAUAUUGAUGAUACCGUCACUCCUCCGACAGCAGGGAAGCUUUUGAGCAAUAUGAAAAUGCCCCCUUCUGUGGUCAAUUCUAUUCCAUCUUCGCAAUCCAGGGCUCAAGGAAGGAUUGUAGCUAUGUCAGGCCAGAUGACUUAUCAGGGAGGGAGCUCCGCAGCACAACCAAAUCAACAGAACCUCUCCCACUCCACCGCUCCACUCUCUCUUCAGCGAAUCCCUGCUCAAAACCGUAGUCAACCUCUGCUCAGCAGGAAGUCCAAUGUCCUGGUAGUGAUUCUCAAGCCUCUUCUCCACCAAAAAUUCAGGGAAAUAGAAGAGGAUCUUUUCUAUAUGGUGGGACACAGGUUAUGGGAGCCACAAGGAACGUGGGUGUUGGGCAUGGUGAUCAGAACUUCCCUGGAACAACCUUCUUUUUAGCCAGUUAUGCAAUUUGGUGGUCAGCAUCUCCGUGGUCUUGGAGUUCCUGCGGUCGCCAUGGCGUUUCCCGGAUAUGUUUCUCAGCCGAAAUGACAUGGUUACCAGUUCUGACCGGCGCUGCGGGAGCUUUAUGACUGCAUAUUGUUCACCUCAUAUUUCAGUUGAUGGAGGGUGAAACAUUGGGGACCUAAUUGAUAAAUUAUUUUAUUUGAGACUCGAUUGGGAAUAGCUAUAGAGGCUAUGGACUAAAUUGAGGGUUCCUGUAUAUUCUAAGCAGCAAAUACAUAACCUUUUCUGACUUUGGCAGUGUGAUCUGCCUGUGUUUUUUUUUCCCUUUUAGAACACCUUUUAUAUGAGAAUUGAAAUCUGUGAGCACUUCGGCCAUUCCUACAUGCUUCGUUAUGGACUAAAUUGAGGGUUCCUGUAUAUUCUAAGCAGCAAAUACAUAACCUUUUCUGACUUUGGCAGUGUGAUCUGCCUGUGUUUUUUUUUUUUUCCAUUUAGAACACCUUUUAUAUGAGAAUUGAAAUCUGUGAGCACUUUGGCCAUUCCUACA